AGCAUCAAGCUCCCUCUGACCCGCGACGCGACCCGACGACCCGAGAAAAAGACCCGGUAGGAACUCCUCCGUCCGACCAUAUCUCGCGGCGGACCACCGGCGUUCGCUUCGUCUCGACGACGCCGACGUGCCUCUGGCCACGGAUCAUCCAUGCACGGGCUGUGGAGAGGAUUCGAAGCUUGAAAGGUUUGAACUUUCCGGCGAUGCUUCUGCAAUUUCCGGCGACCUUCGGGGCUGUGUGAGGUAGGAAAACUAACCCUCUCCUUACGCUCUACGUGCUGGUAUAAGUGGUUCUCGAAUUCGAUUAAGUUUUGAUGAAUUUGUGUUUUGGGUGAUUUCGGGUAUCGACGGACCGCCGUCCAUGGCGGCGAUUCCAGGCUUCUAAUUUCGUUUCUGGCGUCUUGGAAAACCAGUUGAGGUGCGGGGAAGCUUGGUUCCUUGAAUUGGCGUUCGGGGAUGCUUUGGUCCUUGCUGCACUUCGGACUAGGAUGCGCUCUGCCCUCUGUUCGAAAUUCACCAAGCACAGUGGCUGCAAGUUUGCUUGCUCACGAUAUCUGUUAACUCAGAUUAAGCUACUCUGAUUGUCAAAGGACUCCAGUUACCCGAGGAACGGAAGGUUCGUGAAUUUCGGACGACUUCGGAAUCCAGGUAGGGGAUUCGGGGCCUUUCUCGGUUAGUAGUUUUCCCGUUUUAUAUAAAGUGAAGCAUGAUGCAUGUUAAAUUAUAUGGUAUGGUUAUGUUUAAAUGCAAUGCAUACUAACCAUUCCGUGAGAGAUAUCGUUGAUGGCUUGAGAGCGAAGGGUGGCUCUGACUUCCUUGGGUUCGAUCCCCAAAACCUCCGGAGGGUUAGCUACACCGGUCGGACGGUGCGCGAUCGUAAUGACGACCCGAUUCCGUGUGUGUAGCUAGGUAGCGGACGCUCUCGCUACGCUUACCUGGUUAUGAAUUGAUUUGAGGUAAGGUCGUGUAGUUGGUCUAUGGGACCGGCCAUCAGGUAUUGUUUUGGGCCCGUAUUUACUUGAAGUUCAUGCAUCGUAUUUUAUAUCGGAAAAUCAUUUAAGUCGUCGUUCUUAAAGAAAAUGCAUUUACAUAUGUUUUUAUACUGGCGCCACAAAAGUUUAUUUAAAGGUUUUCAAAUCUAGCCGGGGUGAAGCCCCUGUUGAGCAGCGAGGACGAAAGCUCACCCCUACAACAGUGUGGAUGCAGGUACUGUGCACUGGUGACGGGAUUGACGGACGGAGCGGGUGUGCGGAGUCAACUUCGGUAAACGGUUGUAAUGGGAACAGGUUUCGAAGUUUAAUUCCAUUUCUUGAUUGUUUAGUGUUAUCUCAGAAGUAGUUGAUUGAUCAUUUAUUAUAAAUUCGAUUCUCGGAUAUGUCGAUUAUUUCUUGACUCCUUGUUGACUCAAGCUCUAGACGAACAAAUAUUUGAAAUAAAAGUUUUCAAGUUUUCACCUCAA